rnacentral:rRNA from 1 species
GUAGGGAAUAUUGGGCAAUGGGUGCAAGCCUGACCCAGCCAUCCCGCGUGCCGGAUGAAGGCCCUCUGGGUCGUAAACGGCUUUUGACGGUGAAGAACCGAAAGGGUGCGCCCUUUUUUGACGGUAGCCGCUGAAUAAGCACCGGCUAACUCCGUGCCAGCAGCCGCGGUAAUACGGAGGGAGCGAGCGUUGUCCGGAUUUAUUGGGUUUAAAGGGUGCGUAGGCUGGAGGGACAGUCAGCGGUGAAAAGCAGUUGCUCAACAAUUGUCUUGCCGCAGAUACUACCUGUCUUGGAUUGGGAGGAGGUUACCGGAACGGAUGGUGUAGCGGUGAAAUGCAUAGAUAUCAUCCAGAACGCCAAUUGCGAAGGCAGGUAACUGUACCUAUAUCGACGCUGAUGCACGAAAGCAUGGGUAGCGAACAGGAUUAGAUACCCUUGUAGUCC